AGAGUUUGAUCCUGGCUCAGGAUGAACGCUGGCGGCGUGCCUAACACAUGCAAGUCGAGCGAUUUACUUCGGUAAAGAGCGGCGGACGGGUGAGUAACGCGUGGGUAACCUGCCCUGUACACACGGAUAACAUACCGAAAGGUAUGCUAAUACGAGAUAAUAUGCUUUUAUCGCAUGGUAGAAGUAUCAAAGCUUUUGCGGUACAGGAUGGGCCCGCGUCUGAUUAGCUAGUUGGUAAGGUAACGGCUUACCAAGGCGACGAUCAGUAGCCGACCUGAGAGGGUGAUCGGCCACAUUGGAACUGAGACACGGUCCAAACUCCUACGGGAGGCAGCAGUGGGGAAUAUUGCACAAUGGGCGAAAGCCUGAUGCAGCAACGCCGCGUGAGCGAUGAAGGCCUUCGGGUCGUAAAGCUCUGUCCUCAAGGAAGAUAAUGACGGUACUUGAGGAGGAAGCCCCGG
rnacentral:rRNA from 1 species